CUGUUACUUUGGUCUUGAAACUAGUAUACUAAAAGCUAGGUACGCGUAAAUCCGGAUUUUACGGAACUGUUUUUUCGCCAAAUUCCGUGAUACGCUUUUUCAAGUUUGUUAAAAAGUUACAUGGCAUGAACUUGUUUUGCUCUGUUAUUUUAUAGAAAUAUGAAUCAAAAUAGACUAUUUUUGAAUACUAGAACUAUGGAACUUUAGUUUUGCAUGGAUUUUUUUAAUGUAAAAUUUUAUUUAUUAUGAAUUUGAUUGUUGUUAAAAAUUUGCUUGUUGUUUGGACAUCAAGUUUAUAUCAAAGAAAUGCGGGAUCAUUUUUCAAAUAUAGCCUCUCACCUUUAAAAACCUUUUUUCUUACUACCUGCCAAAUUUCAUUGAAAAAAAAGCAUACCCAGACACCUUAAAACUUUACUCCAAUUAGGUAACUAUUUUAGGCUUUAUUAAUGCUAUACACAGAGACUGGGAAGAGGGGGCAGAGUGUAUUAGAAAUAACAAUAAUGAUGUUAAAUAUAGAUUAUAUAAUUCAUUUAAAUAAUUGUAAUGUAGUUAGCAAGUGUAAUGUCAGUAUAUGUACCCUUAUUUUAAUAUAUUAUUAUUUUUUAUUUUUCAAAAGUAAACUACUUAAUUUAAUUUUUUUUUCUGCUAUCAUGGGUCCAAAAAUGAAGUCUGUCUUUUAUGGGAAAUGCAAAAAGUAUUUAACUGGUAGUUUUGCAUUGUCUCAAUUAAGUAUUGACUCUAAUACAGAGUGCAGUAAAGUUUGUAGAAAUGGACAUAUUCUUUUAUAAUUUAUAAAAAAUAGUGGAUCGUUAAUCAAAACAUCUCAACAAGUCACUAAACAUUUUAAGAUAAAUACCUGUAAAAAUCAGGUUAGGAGUCUCAUAAAUAAAUCAUUGAAUUGGGUUAGACAUUUUCACAGGGUUGAGGACAGUAAUCAUUUUGUUGACUUUUGCAAUGAACCUUUUUUAGACCAUAUAUCAAAUUUGCCUAAUAUUGUUCUAUCAUCUGGCUCUUCAGAUGUCUCAUUUGAUAAUAUGAAUGUUUCAUAUUCUUUAAAUCAUGAGCCAUCUACAUCCCAGGUUAUAGCAAACGAAAUGUUACUAAACAUAUCUUUAAAGAGAAAUUAAGCCCUAUAAAACAAAAGCUAAAAGAUAAGUUAUCAUACUUGUCUUCUCGGUUAGCUAACUCUUAUAUAGAAUGUCAAAACAAGAUAGCGCUAUUAAAAGCUGAAUUAAACAGCAUGUCUAACCAAUUACGUGUUCUAAGACAAAAUGUUAAACAAAAAGACAAAAUAAUUAAAUCUUUAAGGGCAGAAAUACGCGAUCUCAAAAAAAAAAACAAAAAAAAUAUUACAGUGAGCAGGUUCAUCACUUUAAAGCUGAAAAAAAAGUUUUAAAAAUAAAUGAAAAGCAUAAGUUAAGGCAACUCAUAACUAAGCAUAAUGCCGCUGUUUUGACAAAUAAAACGGUAAUUUCUAGUUUGGAGAAUGAUUUGCUUCAGAUUGAGGAAGAAAGAAAUGUAAUGCCAAAAGAUGAAAAAACAUACUCAUUACAAAUAAGAAUGAUAAUUUAUAAUAUGUUGUUGUGUAAUGUACCAACAGGUUACAUUCCAUAUCUUAUGAGCAAAAUAGGGCAUUAUAUGGGUGUUAUUUUUAAUAAUAUUCCUCAUCGCAGUACUGUUGAGCAAAUGGCUCGUGAACUUGGCAGUUUUUCAGAUUUGCAAGCAGCGGAGUGAGCAAUGCAUAAUAAUAAUCUUACUCUUGGAUUUGAUGCUACAACACAAGAAGGUGUCCACAUUAAUAGCAUUAACUUAACAUCUAAAGACAAAUGUCUAGUUAUUACUCUAGAUCAAUUACUAGGAGGAACAGCAAAUGAUUAUGAAAGUCAAAUAUGCACUUCAAUUGAUUAUAUGGCAUUUGUUUAUUCAGAUUUUUACCAAUGUACCUUUGAUGACUGUCAUAACUCAAUUAUUAAAAAUAUAUCUAACACAAUGUCAGAUAGAGUUGCAGUCAACCAUCUUAUUAUAAGCAAAGUUUGUGCAACCUGGGGCAAGAAUUUGAAUGAGCUGAACUGCUAUUUGCAACCUCUUGACACAAUUGCAGUGUCAUGUCGCUCAGCGUUACAGUCUUGUGAGAGUGAGAAUUGUCAAUUAUUUGGAAAUGAUUGUAUGGCAGUUAAAAUUAUUUUAGCCAUGAACAAAAUGAGGUUUAUAGACGUCAAAGGUGAUCCAAAAGGAUUUGUAAAUUUUUUAGAUGAAAACGAUCUACCACGAAGUAUUAUUCCAAGAUAUCGAGGAAAUCAGCUUCAUAUUCUUUUUCAUACUUGUUUUAUUUUUAUGAAACAUUACAGUAGUUUAAACAUUUCCUUACUGUUGGAACAGUAAAAUGUAAAAGUUUGCCAGCAGUUCUGAGAGCGGCAUUUUGUAAUAAAACUGCCAUAAAAGAAAUGUGCGUGCUUGCAUUGUUUGGAAAACUCCUUACUGGGCCUUGGAUGAAAAAGUUUUAUGUUUCAGCUGAGGAUGCAACUUUUGAUCAUAUUUAUAAAAAGUUUUGCUAGUAAUUACAAAUUGUAAAUCUAAUCCAGCUGCUCUGUUUCGCAGAAGAACAGAUUUUUUUGGGAAUACUCUUGCCCCUAAUAUUUUAAAAUCAAUAUAUGCUCCAUUACUAACCACUAACACUCGUAUAAGUUUCAUUGAUAACCAGCUUAAAAAAAAGAUUUCUGCUGUUCUUUAUGCAGUGUAAGUUGUCUUGAAGCGACAAUAUAAAAGGUAUUUCUCACUUUCUAUUACAGAGACACUAAAGGAGGAGACUGCGAGUGCAAGGCUUCACAAUAUUGAUUGUGAAGAGAUAGUCGGUAUGUUUAGUGAUGCCAUAGGAAGAUGUCCUAAUGCCAGAUGCCAAAUACUUGCAACAGAUUUCAUUACAGGAGAGUUAAUAUUUUCUUGAUUAAAUGUGUAUGAUUGUUACUAAAUUUUGUUUUUCAAAACUUUAUUUAAAUAAUGUAUCUAAAAUACACCAUAUUACUUGUUUACAAUGUUUAUGCUUCAUUUGAUAGUGUUUAUGCCUCGGUAGAUUAUAGGCAUGAACGUUGGAAUCUUGACAUGUCUUUUUCAAAAUUUUGAACGUCAUGGAAUUUUGACAUGUAUUUUUCAAAAUUUUAUGUGUCAUGGAAUGAGACACUGGAAAAACUGAGAAAGGGUUAAUAAACUAAGUUAAAUUUAUAAGUGCUCAACUGCCUAAAAAUGAAUUUCAUAACUGUGAACCUCCAUAAGUGUGAAGUAUAAGUGUGUAAGUGCUCUGGCAUGUGAGCCAAACAGUUUUAACUUAGUUUUAAUAAAUAAAUAAAAGAAAAUUAAUGUAAAGCCUUCCCCAACCAAAAUCUAAAGCAUGUAUGUAUGUAAAUUUUGAUAAUAGUAUGUCUAUAUUUAUCAGUUCUUGUAUGUACUUUACUUCUCUAUUUUACUACUCAUUUUACUACUCGGUUGUUGUAUGCACUUUUUUUUUUCGUAAAAUUUUCAAGUUCGCAUUUAUGAAGAUUUUUGUUAGUUUGAUUUAUUCAGUAUGAAUUGUGCAUUUAAUGUAAAUGGGUUAUUACUAAUUUCCUUCAUCUUUUCUCUAUUUUCAAUCUUUUAUUUUUUUUACUCAAAAAUUCGUUCAUUUGAAAUCAAAAAGAUUUAAUUAUAGUUGUUUAUAUUUAGAAGUAGAAGAGAAUAAAAUAGGUAUGUUUUAAUCUUGUAUGUUAGGUAUAUAGUUAUGUUUUAAUCUUGUUAUAAAGUGUAUUAAAAUAGUCUAUGUUUAUUUAGCCAAAAAAGAAUUAGAACUUAAAAAAGGUAUUGGUCUUUGAUUUUCUUUGUUUUUUCAAAUAUUUUAACGAUAAAAAUUAUUGAUUUAGUUAAAUUAACUUUUAUUACUCAUACUCUAGUGGCGAUAAAGCAGCAGAUUGGUAAAAAUACUUAAUUUUAAUUUUAGAAUUAACUAAUUAGUUAUGAACUAAAUGCUGUAAUGUUGCCAAUGUUUCAUUAAAAUGUAUUUUUUUAGCUCGCAAAAGGGAAAAACUAGGUAAAUAUAUCUUAAUGGAGUUGUAAAUUUGUUUUUUUUUAAUGGUUUUUUACCAAAUGAAAAUAAUUUCAAAAACGUUUUUUUAGCUAAAAGAAAGGAAAUUCUUGGUAGGAUUUCUAUUGUUGCAAUAAAUGCUGCAUUAGUAUAUAUAUAAUAAAUUGUAAUAUAUUGUAAAUUGAGCUAAAAUAGAGUUAUACUUUUUAUUCAUUCAGCUGCCGGACAGCAUUUACUGCAGACCGCUUCAUUGACGUCAUCACUGCCAUCUGGCGCCCAAAAUGCAAACCAAGACCUCCUCGGCUUGUCUAGGAAUGAUUUCUUGGUUUGGCGCCGAAGCCACCCUGGGCCUAAUUCAAAAAGGGCCUUCCGCAUAUGGGCCCAGAAUGGAGGUAAAGACCUGCCUCAUUUUAUAUACAAACCUCCUGGUGGCAGAAGGGAUGGUAGAAUGUAAUUAUUAACAACUAUACGCAUACUUAUCAAUAAAUUAAUAUAUACUUAGCUGUAUAAUAUUCACUUAGCUGUAUCUAUAUACACUUACUGAUAGGUGUACGUAUAGUUUGUAUGUAUACAUUUAUUAAGUUGAUAUUUGUAUAUAACUUUUUUGUAUAUUUAUUUUUGUAUAUAGUUGAGUUUGAUUUUGUAUGGAAAGUUUGCG